UUCACUCAUUUUCUUCAUUUCCACCAAGUAUCAAACAUCACUUUUCUCUCAAAUCCUCUCACUCCAAUUUCGAGAUUCAAGGGCCUUCUUCCAAGAUUUCUCCCACUUUUGAUUCUCAAAUCUUCAAGCGAUCCUUCAAGUGUUCUUGAGUUGAACACUUCACUUCUUCAACAUUCACCCACUGAAAUCAUAUAAGGAAUUCAGUGAAACAGGAAAUCAACAGCGUUUUGAGGAUGGGGCAAUAAAUAGUCAAACAGUUCAUUUUGUCAUCAUAAUGUAAUUGAUUUGAAUCAUGUAAACAUAUGCUUUGGUGUAACUUUUUUUUAUUAU